GCGCGUACGAGAUACUAGUGUUGGAGUACAUUCAGUGCUGCAGUUAACGCAAUAAGUAUUCCCCCUGGGGAGUAUGCACGCAAGUGUGAAACUCAAAGGAAUUGACGGGGGCCCGCACAAGCGGUGGAGUAUGUUGUUUAAUUCGAAGCAACGCGAAGAACCUUACCAGGUCUUGACAUGGCUCUAAAAGCCCUAGAGAUAGGGUGCUAGUUAUAGAGCACACAGGUGGUGCAUGGUUGUCGUCAGCUCGUGUCGUGAGAUGUUGGGUUAAGUCCCGCAACGAGCGCAACCCUUGUCGUUAGUUACCAUCAUUAAGUUGGGGACUCUAGCGAGACUGCCGGUGACAAACCGGAGGAAGGUGGGGAUGACGUCAAAUCAUCAUGCCCCUUAUGACCUGGGCUACAAACGUACUACAAUGGCGAGAACAACGGGAAGCGAUGUGGUGACACAAAGCGAAUCUCUGAAAACUCGUCUCAGUUCGGAUCGAAGUCUGCAACUCGACUUCGUGAAGUUGGAAUCGCUAGUAAUCGCGGAUCAGCAUGCCGCGGUGAAUACGUUCUCGGGCCUUGUACACACCGCCCGUCAAACCAUGAGAGUUGGUAAUACCCGAAGCCAGUGGCCUAACCCGUAAGGGAGGGAGCUGUCGAAGGUAGGAUCGAUGAUUGGGGUUAAGUCGUAACAAGGUAC
rnacentral:rRNA from 1 species